AAGGCAACACCGAUUACAAAAUGAACUGGCGACGAGGACGACAAACUUAUGUGGCAUUGUCAUGAAAGCUGGCGAUAACUAAAGUGUAUCUCUGGACCUGUGUGAGACAUUCUGAUGUGUGAAUAGGGCUUUGGGACAAAGGGCUUCUGUGCAUCAACCAGACCCUUGCAUGAAGGAAUAUAACAGACUCCAUUUUGAAGUAGAUUUGAAGCAGACAAAAGAUCAGCGGCGUACACAGCUUCCAUUAGACUGGGACCUUUGGAUCAGCCUUCCCCAUUUGUUUUCCAAGAACGCUUACGGGCCCGUCUAACAACUCUCCUGAGAGUCUCCCGAGAUCUCACCAGCUGGAGACUAUUAUCAAAGACGCUGAGGGUAAGCAAACUCAAAUCAAUGACACAAAUGACACAUUUUGUGACAAACAGAUAGUACAGUACACUUUUAAACGUAUGGCUGUUAAACAUUCCCUCUUAC